UGAGGUNAUGGCUCACCAAGGCAUCGAUCAGUAGCCGGCCUGAGAGGGUGAUCGGCCACACUGGGACUGAGACACGGCCCAGACUCCUACGGGAGGCAGCAGUGGGGAAUUGUUCGCAAUGGGCGCAAGCCUGACGACGCAACGCCGCGUGGAGGAUGAAGAUCUUCGGGUCGUAAACUCCUGUCGAACGGGAC
rnacentral:rRNA from 1 species